rnacentral:misc_RNA from 1 species
AUCAAAUUUCUUUCUUCUUCUGUUCAUUUCUGGUUCUCUCUCCUAUUUUCCUCAUUUAAUUUUUCACUUCCUGCAUUUUAAGAAACCUAUUUCUUAGAAUUCUUAAAAUUUUAUUCCUCUCCUUUGUUCUUUCUCUCUUGUGAGCUACCUUAUUCCUUUUCCCUCUAUCAAAAUUUCUACCCUGUGAGGAUUUUAAAUUCAACACCUGUUUUUUUUUUUUUGGGGUUCCAUU